GACGAACGCUGGCGGCGUGCUUAACACAUGCAAGUCGAACGGAAAGGCCCUGCUUUUGUGGGGUGCUCGAGUGGCGAACGGGUGAGUAACACGUGAGUAACCUGCCCUUGACUUUGGGAUAACUUCAGGAAACUGGGGCUAAUACCGGAUAGGAGCUCCUGCUGCAUGGUGGGGGUUGGAAAGUUUCGGCGGUUGGGGAUGGACUCGCGGCUUAUCAGCUUGUUGGUGGGGUAGUGGCUUACCAAGGCUUUGACGGGUAGCCGGCCUGAGAGGGUGACCGGCCACAUUGGGACUGAGAUACGGACCAGUCUCCUACGGGAGGCAGCAGUGGGGAAUAUUGCACAAUGGCCGGAAGCCUGAGGCAGCAACGCCGCGUGCGGGAUGACGGCCUUCGGGUUGUAAACCGCUUUCGCCUGUGACGAAGCGUGAGUGACGGUAAUGGGUAAAGAAGCACCGGCUAACUACGUG
rnacentral:rRNA from 1 species